CCUACGGGGAGCAGCAGUGAGGAAUAUUGGUCAAUGGACGAGAGUCUGAACCAGCCAAGUAGCGUGAAGGAUGACUGCCCUAUGGGUUGUAAACUUCUUUUAUAUGGGAAUAAAACGUUCCACGUGUGGGAUUUUGUAUGUACCAUAUGAAUAAGGAUCGGCUAACUCCGUGCCAGCAGCCGCGGGAAUACGGAGGAUCCGAGCGUUAUCCGGAUUUAUUGGGUUUAAAGGGAGCGUAGGUGGAUUGUUAAGUCAGUUGUGAAAGUUUGCGGCUCAACCGUAAAAUUGCAGUUGAAACUGGCAGUCUUGAGUACAGUAGAGGUGGGCGGAAUUCGUGGUGUAGCGGUGAAAUGCUUAGAUAUCACGAAGAACUCCGAUUGCGAAGGCAGUUCACUGGACUGCAACUGACACUGAGGCUCGAAAGUGUGGGUAUCAAACAGGAUUAGAUACCCGAGUAGUC
rnacentral:rRNA from 1 species